UAAAACUUUUUUUAUUCAUGGCCAAGAUUAAUACUUAAAAUUUCAUUAUUUUUUGAACUGAACUUAAAAUUUCAUUAUUGACAAGCUUUAAAUGAAGACCGUGAAAUAAAGUCGUCCUUGAAACUCUUUCAAUGCAUUAAUUGGAUUUUGGUGAUCGAGUUUAAAUCGCUUCAGAAGAGAUUGACAUUGAUACAGUGAGUUUGAAGAGAGAGGAUUUUGUUUCAGGGUUUCCAGAAUUUGCAGUUAUGAAUGAGAAUACAAAGUUGGUUGAAGAAGAACUUAUGAGGGAUCAACAAUUUUUGGAUAUAUCUGUUCUAGAGUAAACAUGGCGAAGGAUAAAGACGUGUAUUAGUAAAAUAAGGUUACUACAUUAAUGUGAUGCUUUAUGGUUAACAAGAUGCAUCAAACUUGUAAACAUGAGAGUAAUUGAUGAAAAUUCCGACCAAACAAGGUCAAAUUUUUUUUAAUUCAAACCGAAUCAAAUAUCUAUCUAUAAUAAUAAAGUAGACUAUGCUCUCUCCUUACAGUGCCACAUCAUCAAGAAGGAUGAGGCAAACAAGGACUCGUGUCCAUCCAUAAUUCAUGUACACCAGUUUUCUUGACUUCGAUUUGGGCUGUUUAUGUUUCUGUAGAAGUAAGUUGGGCCAAUCUCUCAUUUGAACAAAAAAAGCCUAACUAAGAUGUUUCUUUCGCUUUGAUUUUUCAUUUAGAUCUCAGGUACUCUGGCCGUCCCGAUGCGAGCAAACUGAGAAACGGCAGUCGUUACAGUAUUGAAACCUCAAUACCCACAACUUUAACUUCAAUGCUUCUACUUUUUCUUCAAGCUCGCAUAUGGCGUAUAUAUAUCAAGGGUUUGAGAGUUUUCACAGCCAUUCUACUUGGUCUGCCUUUACUCGCAUAACUCUAAAAGAAAAUCAUUUAAUGGCUAAGCAACAACUCCAUUUCUUCGAGCUCAGGGCAGGCCCCUUUGGUUCUGGCCUUUCUGGGAAGCUCGCAAUGUCAAGAAAGGUGGAGAUUUGAUUCGUAUGGAUCUGGUCCUGCUUGAUGGAAAGGUAAAACUUCGCAUAUAUAGUUGGUGAAAUUAUGGGUUUAAAGACGACACACAAUGAAGAAACGAAAAAAAAAAUCAAUGUCUCAUGACUCAUGGCAACCAUACACAUUCACAUGUCAUACCAUCUUAUUUCCAUUUAUGUUUUCAAACUUUCUACAAUAAGGGGUUGUAUAGUUUUUUUUAAUCAGUUUGUUUCUAAAUCCUUGACAUUGCACGGCCACUAACGUAUGUGUGAGUGUUUUUGACGGGAUAGCUGUACAACUCCAUGAUAAGUUGUUUGCGGCUGGUGUGGCCAGCCACUGAUUGUUGUAGUGACUAAUUUUAAUCCUAAACUGGUUGGAGGCCGCUGACAGGAAGACCAACAGAACAUGGCGCUUCCACAAUGCCUUGCUGAUAUUGUGGGGAGGACCUUCACAUUCCAGCUCAAGCUUACAGAUUUUAAUUUCUUAGCAAAGAUCAGUCUUUCACGAUCUCACACAUAUUUGUUAGCAACCAGCCCCUACCUUUUCCUAAUUUUGGGAACCAGCUAGGAAGGACACAAUAAUAUGCGAGGAGCUGGUCCGGUUUCACAGAUUUCUUCAGCUAGUGUUCACAUAGUUCUUCCUGACACCAGCACGGUGUUGACAAUGUUGUUCCUGCUAACAGCAGAGGCAUCACUGGAGUGAUCAUCGACGAAGGCAUCCCAUGAGAUUGGUUUGAGCGCUAUGUCUGACAUGUUAUUACCGAACUAUCUUCAGAGGAUGCCUCAUUUAAGGAAGGUGGCUCCUCUGCAAAGAAGCAAUGGCUCCUCUGCAAAGAAGCAAUGUUGUGGCUAAAUCUGCAGUAUUGUACUCCAUCCAGAUAGAAAGUGGUCUUACAACUACUCUAGUGUCUCUUUUUU